ACCAGGCUCUGCUGCCACCGAGUCCCUAGCCCCAACUCAACAAACCUGAAAGCCUUCACAGCAGUGAGCUGCAAUGUUGGAGGGCUUCAUCUCGGGCUGCAAGGACCCUGGGAAAGUUCCAGAACUCCACGUCCUUGUCUCAAUUGUGCCAUCAACUUUCAGAGCUAUCAUGAGCCAACCUCACCCCACAGGGCCUCAGUCGCCACCAUGUGGGCCUCUCCAGUGCAAACCACCGAGCAUUCCACCAUGACCGGUCACAGCUACAAAUCCAGAGACCAUCAAUCCUGCUAGAGUGCAGGGUGGCAAGCACCCAAGGGUGGCUGACCAAGACUGCAGAGUCUCCUCCAUCUUCAGGUCCAUUCAGCCUCCUGGCAUUUAACUACCAGCAUCCAGUGGUCCCCAAGGAAUCCCUUCCUAGCCUCCUGACAUGAGUCUGCUGGAAAGAGCAUCCAAACAAACAAGUAAUAAAUAAAUAAAUAAACUCAA
rnacentral:lncRNA from 1 species